rnacentral:rRNA from 1 species
GGCUUAAAGGCAAUAAUUUUAGGUCUGACCUGCCCAAUGAGUAGUUAAAUGGCCGCGGUAAUUUGACCGUGCAAAGGUAGCAUAAUCAUUAGUUUUUUAAUUAGAAGCUUGUAUGAAAGGUUUGAUGAGAAAGUACCUGUCUCUGGGAAAAUUUAUUAGAAUUUUAUUUUUAAGUUAAAAAGCUUAAAUUUAUAUAGAAGACGAGAAGACCCUAUAGAGUUUUAUAUUUCAAGGGUUAAGUUAAUUUAGUUAAUGAAUUUAGAAGCUUGAAGUAUUUUGUUGGGGCGAUGAAAAAAUUGGGUGAACUUUUUUUGAUUUUGAACAUUUAUUUAUGGUUGGUUGAUCCUAUAGUUUAGAUUACAAGAAAUAACUACCUUAGGGAUAACAGCGUAAUUUUUUAAAGAGUUCUUAUCGAAAAGAGAGAUUGCGACCUCGAUGUUGGAUUAAAAUUUAUUAUUGGUGUAGAAGCUACAUAAUUGGGUCUGUUCGACCCUUAAAAUUUUACAUGAUCUGAGUUUAAACCGGUGUGAG